rnacentral:lncRNA from 1 species
UGAGAAUAGGUAAGUCCUAAAGUGCGAAGUAUUGUUGGUUUCCCCCAAGCGGUUGGUUUGGUAUCCUUUUCCUCCCCAACGACAAGUCAGUUUCCCCAACUGAGUUUGUAAUCACCUCCCCACCUGAGUUGUGGGAUCACAUCCUCAACAGUUUGCAUGGACCUAGCAUGGAGUUUUAUAUCCUAUAAGUCCCCAGCGGAGUUC